UAUGUACUCCCUCCGUUCCGAAUUACUUGUCGCAGGUAUGGAUGUAUCUAGAUGUAUUUUAGAUACAUCCAUUUCUGCGACGAGUAAUUUGAAACGGAGGGAGUAUAAC
rnacentral:pre_miRNA from 1 species